rnacentral:rRNA from 1 species
GAUGAACGCUGGCGGCGUGCUUAACACAUGCCAGUCGAACGAUGAAGCCCAGCUUGCUGGGUGGAUUAGUGGCGAACGGGUGAGUAACACGUGAGUAACCUGCCCUUGACUCUGGGAUAGGCCUGGGAAACUGGGUCUAAUACUGGAUAUGACUUCUCAUCGCAUGGUGGGGGGUGGAAAGAUUUAUUGGUCUUGGAUGGACUCGCGGCCUAUCAGCUUGUUGGUGAGGUAAUGGCUCACCAAGGCGACGACGGGUAGCCGGCCUGAGAGGGUGACCGGCCACACUGGGACUGAGACACGGCCCAGACUCCAACGGGAGGCAGCGGUGGGGAAGAUUGCACAAUGGGCGCAAGCCUGAUGCAGCGACGCCGCGUGAGGGAUGACGGCCUUCGGGUUGUAAACCUCUUUCAGUAGGGAAGAAGCGAGAGUGACGGUACCUGCAGAAGAAGCGCCGGCUAACUACGUG